AGUGCGCUUCAGGUUCAACUCCGGUUUCGUUUUUUGACAGUUGUAAACGCAAAACCGGUCACACACAGGAUGCGGCUGUUGUGGCUGAUGCGGCAUGUGGUUGAAAUUAUGAAAAUCACAAAAGUAAUGUUAUAUUUUUCCUAGUCUUUUUGCUCAUUCGAUGACUUUACCACAGGAAAUAUUUAUUCUUUUUGUUUUAAGCCCGUAGCAUCAGUAAAAGAAAGGUUGGAAGCAUAAUUGAAAAACGGUGAGCGGAUACGACGGUGGCGGCCGCAGUGUGAACGUGCCCGACAGCUGCCGCAUCAACCGCGAGAGCCGCGCCCUAUUGUGGUAACCUGGUAAUCGUUGUUUUCGUCGUCGUCGCCUCGUUGUUCAUUUCAUUCAUUCAUUUUCAUUCGAUUUUCAUUGUUGUACGCACGGUUUUCACGUUCCGCGGAUCUUUAGGCGAUUUUCCUUACUUUACCGGAGGUCGACACCUUCACGCGAGUUGCCGGCGGUUUAUUUUGUGCCCGAAAAGUGAUCGGAAAACGGACGCGUCGCAGGAACCCGGGUGGAAUAUUAAAAAUAGCAUCAAAAGUAUUUGAAGAAGCUCGCGGGUUCCUCGGUCGUCGGGUGUCGCGCGGUGUCGUCGUGCGAAAUCGUACGAUCCUCGUCGUUCGGGGGUGAUUACGGUCGUCCGUUGUUGAAGCCGCGGAGGAACGCGUGUUUACAAAGCGUGCGUGCCAAAGAAGAGUGAAAGAAAGUGGCAACAUAUCGUACGACCGACCGAGCCUUCAUCAAGUGCCACAUCAUCGUCGUCACAGUUUUCUCCCGCAGCCCGUAGUCUCUUCCACGUGUGAAUGCCUUCGAGCCAAGGUUACAAGAAAGUAGCGUCGGAACCCCCGAUCGAUCCGGUGGAUGUUGUUGUUGGUGGAGCGAACGACACGGCGACGACUGCAGCGACCGGGACAAACAUGCCGGCCAACAUGGGAACCAGCCAACCUGCGUUGGCGUCGGUAGCCGGAGCGAUUCAGUCGAAUCCGGCCGGUAAAAUACCGGCCACCAACUCACAGCAGCGGCUCAUGCCGACGGAUUCGGAUUCCGUGUCUUCCUCCCAGGACGAGGGCUACAUCGAGGGAGGACCGCCAAAUGGCGACGAAGACACGGUUACCGUGACGACGACGACGGGCUCGUUCGGUGCCAGCGCUUGGUUUACGGUGGCCGUCCUCUGCUUCGUCAACCUCAUCAACUACAUGGACCGGUUCACCAUCGCAGGUGUACUGACGGAAAUACAGGAUCACUUCAAGAUCGGCGACGACGAGGGUGGCCUACUGCAGACGGCAUUCGUUCUGUCCUACAUGAUCUGUGCGCCACUGUUUGGGUAUCUCGGUGAUCGGUAUUCCCGCAAAUGGAUCAUGGCACUCGGUGUGUCGCUAUGGAGUACCACGACGCUACUUGGAUCCUAUAUGCAUCAUUUCGGGUGGUUCAUCACGUUCCGGGCGCUGGUCGGUAUCGGUGAAGCAUCCUACAGUACGAUCGCACCGACGAUAAUCUCCGAUCUGUUCGUGGGCGAUAUGCGCUCCAAGAUGCUGGCCCUGUUCUACUUUGCCAUUCCAGUGGGCUCCGGUUUCGGGUACAUCGUUGGUUCGGAGAUGGCCACACUGAUGGGAUCGUGGGUUUGGGCACUGCGUGUUACUCCCGUGCUCGGUGCGAUCGCCGUCGUAUUGAUCAUCAUGCUGCGGGACCCAGAACGAGGCCAGAGUGAAGGAUCCCAUCAUAUGCAGGCUACGUCGUACGGUGAAGACAUCAAGGCGAUCGUGCGCAACCGUUCGUUCAUGCUGUCGACGGCCGGAUUCACCUGUGUUGCCUUUGUUGCCGGUGCCCUCGCCUGGUGGGGUCCCAAAUUCAUACAUCUCGGACUGACAUCACAACCAGGGAAUGAACAUGUCACACUUAACGAUGUGUCCUAUCGAUUCGGGAUCGUAGCGAUGACGGCCGGAUUGAUCGGUGUACCGCUCGGAUCGUACCUGGCCCGCCGUUUACGGCCGCUCCAUGCCAACUGUGACCCAUUAAUCUGCGCCGGUGGGCUGAUGGCUAGCGCACCGUUCAUCUAUCUAGCGCUCGUCGUGAUCAAGUACAGCGGAGGCUGGUGUUUCACGCUGGUCUUCAUCGCUGAACUGCUGCUCAACCUCACCUGGUCGAUCGUGGCCGACAUUCUGCUGUACGUGGUCGUGCCAACGCGUCGUUCAACGGCGGAAGCGUUCCAGAUAUUGAUCUCACAUGCAUUCGGCGAUGCCGGUAGUCCGUAUUUCGUUGGACUGAUAUCCGAAGCGGUCAAACGAAUGAUUCGGAUAUCGACGGACGCGUACGCUAAUAUUGAAUCGGCCGCCCCAUCGCUCAGUAUGCUUAGCUUAUCUCAGUUGGCUGAAAAUGUUACCGUAACAACGCUGAGUACCCUAAACGCUACCAGCACUACUGUACCUUUGAACCUAUCCGAUAUGCCCGAUUCGGAUGAUGACUCCCCGCUGAUCAAAUUCCGCGCCUUGCAGUACGCUCUGUUUACAACCUGCUUCAUCGAGGUACUCGGUAGCGCGUUCUUCAUGUUGACCGCCAUCUACAUCGUCCGGGAUAAGCAACGAGUCGAGAGGGCGAUCGUUGGCUGCCAGCUAGAAUUAAGUGAAAGUUCCGGUUCCGGGUCCGAUGGUAACGGAACAGAUGAAGGUGGGCACCGACAGGCGGCGGCUGGUCCUCUGUGUACCUUGACCACGGAUUGUAACGAUGGCAGUUACCGGCAGGAGCAGCGCCAACACCAACGGAUCGGCUUCGUGCCGUCCUAACGGCGACAGCCAGCGAGUGAAGUUAUCUAAUUGGUAGUGUCCUUCGGUUCGUGAUGGGUGUCAUCAGCUGCCCCUGCCCCUCUCCCUGUGACUGUGAUUCUUCCCGUGCCGGUGCACGCGAAUUCCCGUUCCGUUCCAUUCCUACACGCCGUACGAAUCGAAGGACACUCUCUGAGCUGAUUAGAGAUACUUCCAGUACUUCGUGCAACUACUAAAUGGUAGUGCACUGAAUUGUAGACAACCAAUCUAAUUCUGCCUCGGCGCAUCGACUGGAAAGCUCCGUUUCCGACGUAGAGGACACGUUACCACCCAGCAUACGGCAACGAGCGAAUGCUGAACCGUAGAUAAGAUAAAAGACACCGUAGGAACACACGUCCUAUCCGAUGUAUUCCAUGCGUCAAAGUGUACCGGCGACCAUUUCACUCAUUGCGCUGUGUGCUCCUCGUACGAAUGGGAAUAGGUUAGUAUACCAUUGUUAUAUGGGGACAGGAAGAGGAAGAUAACAGAGUAGAAAACCGCUUUACAGAACUGAUCGCAGACCGUGCUCUGCCAUUUGCUAGAACACAUCUAGAGAGCGUACCAUAGAACGGGAGAGAUGACAGGGGAGGACUCGAAAUAGAAUAAGAAGAGUGUCAACUACUACAGGGGUAAAUGUUGUUGUUGUUGUGCACUACUUAGUACACAGAUGCAAGUAUAGAAAUCAUUGUAUUACCACACCCUGGGGAGACACUUUGAAUGGGCACCUAUAGGUACCCAUUAGUACAUCACGAUUGGGAAAUGUAGAAGGGAUCCUGCAGACGCAAUGAGCUGCAGCUUCUCUAUCUGUAGGGCGGUUCCGUCCUAGCGGGCGAUGUAUAUAGGACUCGAUACACCACUUUCUUCCCUAGUAGGAUGGUUAAGUUUAAGAAAACAGUGGCAGGUAGAACUAACUAGUAUGUCUCAAAUGCCUUUCGAACAAAGCGUACGUGCAGGUACGACACCCCGAUACUAUCCUAGUAUAAUGUUAAGCGAGCAAUGCACUGGUAGUGUAGACGUAGUACCCAAAAACUCAGAUUAGAGACAUUGUACUACGAGAAAGAAGGUACGCCAAUUAGUAUGAAUGAAACGUGUAUGUGUGUUUGUGUGCGCGUAAGUAUGCAAGUGAAGCAAUAUUUUGUAGCAAGAAAACAAUGAUGGGGCCAUUAGGAAUGUUGUUGUUGCUAUUGUUUUUCUUUUGUUUUAUGCCCGGGGUUUUUGGUUUUGUUUUUUGAAGUAAAUGGAAACUAUUUAGGUAGACAAACAACAACGAAAAAACCUGUCAAGUGAUAAAACGUGAAAUCUUUGGCACGAUAGGACGAGGGCGAAAAGAAAGUAAAAAACCACAAGACUGUCACGGAGGAACGGCGGGAAUGCAAAGCGCGCCUUAUCUUGCGUUCUAGUUCGACGGGAGGAUGAGCCUCUGACGGUGGCUCGUACUGAUGGCCUAUUGCGAUCAUUUCAUUUGAAAUUGCCCAAAAAUCAUCCUUUCAUUGUCUCAUCAUUAUUAGCAACACAACACAGUAAGUGCAUCGUUGCUUCGAUCGAGUUCUGUGGUAGGUAUAUGCCGGUAUACACUGGACCCAAGGCCUACUCGCCCGUUCCACAUGGUUCCACCAAUGCUUAGUGGCUAAGCAGUAAGAGCCCAACCCAUAAAGCUAACAGCAGUUGCGAUCAGUCAAGCAAAGGUCAUAGGUGGUAUUCAAUCAGCAGUUUUUAGUUAGUGGUGCAUAACAGGCAGGGGAAUAUUUAUUGCUCGAUUAUGAUUCUUUGGUUAAAACUUAGAGUAUUUCGGGCGGAUGAAACCAUACGUGAAGGGGGAGAUGAUGGGAGGACAGAAGAAUAAGAAAAUAAAAUUAUCGACAACAAUGAACUCUUCUGUUAUUUAUUGC